AUUUUGUUCGUGAUCGUAGGUCAUUUCGAGGCCAUUUGAGUUUGACGCUUCCUCCUGGUGCUCGAGCUUGGAGAUCCAAACUUCUCGUUACUUUGAGAAAGUCGAUUUCUCCUCGGCCUGUGUUGAGUUCCCUCUUAGCGACUGAGGGUUUUUGAUAGGAGUAUCCUUCCUCAUUGAGACGAGGUCCCUUGUAUCUUUGAUGUAGUUUGCUUUUCACUUAUCGCUAGUGUAGUUCGUCGCCUUCCCUUUUUAUCUCCCUUUUUCUUUUUAUUUGGGUGAUGGUUUUUCCUUUAGGUGAGGGUUUUCCCUCUGCUCUUAGCGGGGUUGUGGGGAUGUAGAGGAGCCACUGAGGAGGCUUUUCUCCUCAUCCGAUCUUGAUCGAUCAGGUCUUUGUUUGUGUUAGGGCGAGGUUCUCCUC
rnacentral:lncRNA from 1 species